AUUCUCGCGCGGGCCGAAUUCGAUUUCGACGACUAUCCCAGGUCGAUGUCCGUACUCUCACGUCCGUCCGCGAGUUGUCGCGCGGUCCACCAGGGAGAGGUGGCAAGCAGACUGUCCAACUGGCUGGUACUGCAUCGUUAUAAGGGACCGCUGGUCCGAGCCGCUACCAGGGAGGAGGCUGUUGACACUCAUCAGCUCUGGUCGGGCCACUGGGGAUGAUCGGAGCAGUAUCUUCACCGGAUUGAGAGGAUAUCAAUGUCCGAGUUCGCCUAAUGUAACGACAAUGAAUGCCAAGCUGGCCGCUGCCUGGUCUGCGGUGAAGCAGUGGACACCUAAGCGCACGUGUUGCCGGAGUGCCCGUGCUUUUACGGCCCUCGGCUGCGUGCGCUGGGGAACAUCGUCGGCGCGGCCCACGAUGUCAAGCGCGACGACGUGGUGGUGACCUUAGCCGCCGGCUACGAGGCCCAUAAGAGGCUUGUAUUGGCUACGGCGGUAGCUGUGGGGACACAGCAACAACGACAUCAACAGCUGGCGGCGGAAGUGGCCCCGGAGCUACGCACCUGCGGACAGAGCUACCGCUGAUCCACAUCUCAGCUGAUGAUGCUCAACAGUCUGUGCGAGCUGUGAUGGUGCCUGUCAUCUGCGCUCCUCUCCGGCGGCCGGUGAUUCCAGCCGCUGACCUGAACCACCUGGCCACCCUGAAUCUGGCUGACCCUCCCUGCUCACGUGACCAGCUGCAAAUUGACCUGCUC